UCUUUGCAGCCUUGUGAAGUUGCUCCUUGCAGCUGCUAUUGCUUGUGGGCUCAACAAGGAUGCAGAAAGUAUAUCAAAGAAUGAAAAGGCGUGACUUCUGGAGGCUCAGGAGUUUCACGUGCGAUGUUCCUUGGACACACUCCUGCUUUCCACGGUGGUGAUGGGCUCUUCCUGUAGCUAUCACCUUUCUUGAGGCAGGUAGAGUGAAACUCAACAGCCAGAUAUUGUCUGAAAGAGGGAAAGCUGUUCCUGUCAGACACUGUCAGCUGUUACAGCA